rnacentral:rRNA from 1 species
AUUGAACGCUGGCGGCAUGCUUUACACAUGCAAGUCGAACGGCAGCGCGGGCUUCGGCCUGGCGGCGAGUGGCGAACGGGUGAGUAAUACAUCGGAACGUGCCCAGUAGUGGGGGAUAGCUCGGCGAAAGCCGGAUUUAUACCGCAUACGACCUGAGGGUGAAAGCGGGGGAUCUUCGGACCUCGCGCUAUUGGAGCGGCCGAUGGCAGAUUAGCUAGUUGGUGGGGUAAAGGCCUACCAAGGCGACGAUCUGUAGCUGGUCUGAGAGGACGACCAGCCACACUGGGACUGAGACACGGCCCAGACUCCUACGGGAGGCAGCAGUGGGGAAUUUUGGACAAUGGGCGAAAGCCUGAUCCAGCAAUGCCGCGUGUGUGAUGAAGGCCUUCGGGUUGUAAAGCACUUUUGGCGGGAACGAAAAGGACUGUGCCAAUACCACGGUUCGAUGACGGUACCCGCAGAAUAAGCACCGGCUAACUACGUG